UAAAGUUUGAUCAUGGCUCAGACUGAGCGGUNGCGGCAGGCUUAACACAUGCAAGUCGAGCGGGGAAGGGUAGCUUGCUACCUGACCUAGCGGCGGACGGGUGAGUAAUGCUUAGGAAUCUGCCUAUUAGUGGGGGACAACAUCUCGAAAGGGAUGCUAAUACCGCAUACGUCCUACGGGAGAAAGCAGGGGAUCUUCGGACCUUGCGCUAAUAGAUGAGCCUAAGUCGGAUUAGCUAGUUGGUGGGGUAAAGGCCUACCAAGGCGACGAUCUGUAGCGGGUCUGAGAGGAUGAUCCGCCACACUGGGACUGAGACACGGCCCAGACUCCUACGGGAGGCAGCAGUGGGGAAUAUUGGACAAUGGGGGGAACCCUGAUCCAGCCAUGCCGGUGUGUG
rnacentral:rRNA from 1 species